AUCGAACGCUGGCGGCAGGCCUAACACAUGCAAGUCGAACGAGUGGCGGACGGGUGAGUAAUGUCUGGGAAACUGCCUGAUGGAGGGUGAUAACUACUGGAAACGGUAGCUAAUUCCUCAUACUAUUAGAUGUGCCCAGGUGGGAUUGGCUUGUUGGUGGGGUAACGGCUCACCAAUGCGACGAUCCUUACCUGGUCCGAGCGUAUGACAGGCCCCACUGGAACUGAGACACGGUCAUGAGGCCUACGGGAGGCCGCAGUGGAGAAUAUUGCGCAAUGGGAGAAAGCCUGAUGCAGCCAUGCCGCGUGUAUGAAGAAGGCCUUAGGGUUGUAAAGUACUUUCAGCGGGGAGGCGUUACCCGCAGAAGAAGCACCGGCUAACUCCGUGCCAGCAGCCGCGGUAAUAC
rnacentral:rRNA from 1 species